rnacentral:lncRNA from 1 species
GAUGGAUUCAUUCCCACUCAGCUGCAUUCAUCAAGCCUUCUUCAAGCCCUUAACAGAUUCGAGUUGGAUGGAAGAACUCUGACUCAGAGUAAAGACUGGAGGACAGACACUUGAGGAGAGGCUGGAAGAGGAACUCAACCCUGGAGGAACUUGUGCAGGAGACCUCAGACUGCUUUCCUUUAAGAAGAAGAAGGGAUCACAAAAGAGUCACUGUACAGUGCCAAGAAGCACAAAGUCAAAGAGACAACCAAUUCCCAUUGGACUGAUGAGAAUGUAUUGCAAGACAGAAGACUUGUUUAAGGUUCAAGGAAGCAGCUGCUUCACAACAUCAAAUGCUGGACUCCCCCAUGCCACAUUCCAACAAGCAGCUUAGUUGAACUUUCAUUCUGGCUCCCCUAUCCCUGAUAUUAAAGAGAAAGAAGCAAGAAGCAAAUAUGAGGAAUGAGAAACCAAUAGAGAAGAGAUCCCAUUGCAAAAUCUUUCUCCUUCAUCACCACCCUUCCACAAACCCUUUCUGACUAUCUGUAGUCAGCCAAAGGAUGAAGAAAGUCAGUCUCCUAAAGGAGGUUGGAGCACAGAAGAGUUGAAUUGGAAAAGGUUGUCCUCACUUCUUAGAGAGGUAAUGUAGUGCUGGCCCAGUAAAAGAGAAAAUAUUUAUAGCAAUGUUUUCUAUCAAUAGUUAGAUAGAGAUAUGUGUGUGUUUAACAUAUAUACAUAUAUAUUUAUGUUUGUAGGUUGUGUACGCCAGAGACAAUAUGGGAUGACCAAGUUAACAUAUGCAGCCCUGAGAACCUGAAACAUUACUAGCACAAGAGCUACUGGAAUGGUGGAUGCAGCAGGAUUAAGGGCAGGUCCUAGAAUUAGCUUGAACCUGCAUACUUUUUUCUCCUGUCUCUUAUAGGACUAUUGAAUAAAUAAAAACCAUAGUAAUUACUAAUAUUUAUA